GGCCAUCAACGGCGUCCAUGGAGAUCAUUGAGAUUUUGAUUUUGAGGCCAUCAUCCACUCUCAUCUGAUGCUUCUUGAGUUCUGACUCUGUGUGAGUAAGCGUGAUUGUGGACUGCUAUGUACAUUGUAAAGGCAAGCCUACUGAAGCCGGCGGGAGUAGUAGGGAGGCCUCGUUGUGUUCCACGUCCUGCAUUCAUGUUUUGCGGGAAAACACUCGCAAUCUCAAAAUCGUCAUCGUCAUCAUCAUCUGCUCCCAUUGCUACUCAAUCUUCGCUGCUCCCUUCUGCUGUAUUGCCCGUUACUCCGGUCCUCAAACCUCUAGGGCUUCCCCCCUCCCCUGAAUUGGGCCUUCUCUCUCUCCUUUUUGUCCUUUCUACGGCUAUCGGAGCAAUAUUCUCCUU
rnacentral:misc_RNA from 1 species